rnacentral:tRNA from 1 species
GGAAAACUAGUUUAACAAAACAUAGGACUUCGACUCCUAAAAUCCUAAAUAAUUGGGGUUUUCCU